rnacentral:rRNA from 1 species
GCUCUAGUAGCGUAUAUUAAAGUUGUUGCAGUUAAAAAGCUCGUAGUUGAACUUGAAGUGUACAUGGAUGGUGUACUUAGCAGUGCUAUUGUUUGGUGUAUGCUUGAUGGGGUGGAUUAGCUGCAUGCACGCAAGUGUGUGCCAGUGAUGUCCAACAUUUACUGUGAAAAAAUUAGAGUGUUAAUUGUCAGAGGUGAAAU